CCUACGGGUGGCAGCAGUGAGGAAUAUUGGUCAAUGGACGAGAGUCUGAACCAGCCAAGUAGCGUGAAGGAUGACUGCCCUAUGGUUUGUAAACUUCUUUUAUAUGGGAAUAAAAUGUUCCACGUGUGUGAUUUUGUAUGUACCAUAUGUAUAAGGAUCGGCUAACUCCGUGCCAGCAGCCGCGGUAAUACGGAGGAUCCGAGCGUUAUCCGGAUUUAUUGGGUUUAAAGGGAGCGUAGGUGGAUUGUUAAGUCAGUUGUGAAAGUUUGCGGCUCAACCGUAAAAUGGCAGUUGAAACUGGCAGUCUUGAGUACAGUAGAGGUGAGCGGAAUUCGUGGUGUAGCGGUGAAAUGCUUAGAUAUCACGAAGAACUCCGAUUGCGAAGGCAGUUCACUGGACUGCAACUGACACUGAGGCUCGAAAGUGUGGGUAUCAAACAGGAUUAGAUACCCUUGUAGUC
rnacentral:rRNA from 1 species